GCUGCGACGACAGCGACUGAAGCGCAGCUGGAGUGGUAAGAUGGCGGACGAGCAGCUGCAGCAGCUCCGUGCGGUGCUACAGGGGGAGGGGAAGGUGGUUUCUCCUGACACAAGCUGGAGGCCGGAGCCUGUGGCACCCUGGCUUGCCUCACUGAAGCUGGUGGCUGUGACAGGGACUGCACGGCUGCUGGAGUGGUAGAAAGGCAGCCCAGGUAGGAAGCCAUCAUUCUGUAGAAGGCAGUGACGGAACAGUACCAGCAGAAAUUGAAGGACCAGCAGAAGGGAUCAUGGCCAAAGUUGCAGUGUCCCCCCGCUCGUUGAAGAUGAGGAGUUCUCAGAGAGCGGGAUGUUUGUGACAUUCCUCAUGUCAGCUCUCGAGUCCAUGACUCUCACUCGGUCGUCCAGGCUGGAGUGCAGUGGCACCAUCUUGGCUCAUUGCAACAUCUGGCUCCCAGGUUCAAUCGAUUCUUCUGCCUCAGCCUUCUGAGUAGCUGGAAUUAACAGGUGUAUGCCAACUUAUCUGGCUAAUUUUGUUGUGUAUUUUUCUUUCAGUACAGACUGGGUUUCACCAUGUUGGCCAUGCUGGUCUUGAGCUCCUCACCUCAGGUGAUCCACAUGCCUCAGCCUCCUAAAGUGCUGGGAUUAUAGGCGUCAGCCACCGCUUCUGGCCUAGAUCAUUAACAUAUCACUAUGAUACUAAAAUUCCCUCUGCCAAAGAAAAUCUUGCCAUUUUGUGACAUGAGUUGUAUAAAGAUGUAUGUUUAUAUGCACUGAACCUGUGCACCUAGAGUUCCACCCUGCUCAUGCUAACGUUGUUCUCCCUCCCCGUACCUAGUUCUUAAAAACUCCAUGCCUUCCAUUUUUCAGGGAAAGGGUGUCUUUAGAGCAAGAACUCUUUUCUUCUCCAUCCCAGGCAGGGAAAAAACCCAC
rnacentral:lncRNA from 1 species